GCCACCCAGGCACCUCAGAUCUCCAAAAUCCUCAAAGGAAGAAAAAAACAACCCUGACUAAGCACAGCUUCUAUGCAAUAGUUCUUAUUGUUGUUGUAAGAUUUUUCCCAAUAAAAACAUGAAAAGGACACUAUCAAAACUGAUAUAAGUAACUAUGCAUCAAAAUCAUCCUGUGAUAAAACUGAAGAUGAUGUGUUUUUAAUAACAAAAAACAGGAGCUGCAAUCAACAAAGAAAGCAAAAUUUGCUCAAAAAUGAUCUGUUCCACCAUAAAUAAGAGAUUACUGAGAAGGAUUAAGAAGUCUCUGUGAAUUCAUAUCACCAUACUCCCUACAUUUUAAAAGAAUUCUUUACUAAAAAGAGCUUCCUUUCACUCCCAUUUCCUGAUCAAGGCUGCAAAUAACCCAAACAUUUCAGAGAGACAGAGCAUGAGAGGGGGAGGG